CGGUACCCAGUUCGGAUUGUAGGCUGCAACUCGCCUACAUGAAGUCGGAGUUGCUAGUAAUCGCGGAUCAGAAUGCCGCGGUGAAUGCGUUCCCGGGUCUUGUACACACCGCCCGUCACACCAUGGAAGUUGGGGGCGCCCGAAGUUGGUCGGGAAAUAGAUUACCUAAGGCGAAACCAAUGACUGGGGUGAAGUCGUAACAAGGUAUC
rnacentral:rRNA from 1 species